GAAUUCGAUUAGAGUUUGAUCCUGGCUCAGAUUGAACGCUGGCGGCAGGCUUAACACAUGCAAGUCGAGCGGUAGCACAGGGGAGCUUGCUCCCCGGGUGACGAGCGGCGGACGGGUGAGUAAUGUCUGGGAAACUGCCUGAUGGAGGGGGAUAACUACUGGAAACGGUAGCUAAUACCGCAUAACGUCGCAAGACCAAAGAGGGGGACCUUCGGGCCUCUUGCCAUCAGAUGUGCCCAGAUGGGAUUAGCUAGUAGGUGGGGUAAUGGCUCACCUAGGCGACGAUCCCUAGCUGGUCUGAGAGGAUGACCAGCCACACUGGAACUGAGACACGGUCCAGACUCCUACGGGAGGCAGCAGUGGGGAAUAUUGCACAAUGGGCGCAAGCCUGAUGCAGCCAUGCCGCGUGUGUGAAGAAGGCCUUCGGGUUGUAAAGCACUUUCAGCGAGGAGGAAGGUGGUGAGCUUAAUACGCUCAUCAAUUGACGUUACUCGCAGAAGAAGCACCGGCUAACUCCGUGCCAGCAGCCGCGGUAAUACGGAGGGUGCAAGCGUUAAUCGGAAUUACUGGGCGUAAAGCGCACGCAGGCGGUUUGUUAAGUCAGAUGUGAAAUCCCCGGGCUCAACCUGGGAACUGCAUUUGAAACUGGCAAGCUAGAGUCUCGUAGAGGGGGGUAAAAUUCCAGGUGUAACGGUGAAAUGCGUAGAGAUCUGGAGGAAUACCGGUGGCGAAAGCGGCCCCCUGGACAAAGACUGACGCUCAGGUGCGAAAGCCGUGGGGACCAACAGGAUUAAAUACCCUGGUAGUCCACCCUGA
rnacentral:rRNA from 1 species